GCGGAGGAAAAGAAACCAACAGGGAUUGCCUCAGUAACGGCGAGUGAAGCGGCAACAGCUCAAAUUUGAAAUCUGGCUCUUUUAGAGUCCGAGUUGUAAUUUGUAGAAGAUGCUUUGGGAAUGGUUCCGGUCUAAGUUCCUUGGAACAGGACGUCAUAGAGGGUGAGAAUCCCGUAUGCGACUGGUCGCCUGCCCCGUGUAAAGCUCUUUCGACGAGUCGAGUUGUUUGGGAAUGCAGCUCAAAAUGGGUGGUAAAUUUCAUCUAAAGCUAAAUAUUGGCCAGAGACCGAUAGCGCACAAGUAGAGUGAUCGAAAGAUGAAAAGCACUUUGGAAAGAGAGUUAAACAGUACGUGAAAUUGUUGAAAGGGAAGCGCUUGCAACCAGACUUGCACGUAGUUAAUCAUCUGGUGUUCUCACCGGUGCACUUGACUAUGUUCAGGCCAGCAUCGGUUCAGGUGGUGGGAUAAAGGCCUUGGGAAUGUAGCUUCUUUCGGGGAGUGUUAUAGCCCUCGGUGCAAUGCCGCCUACCUGGACCGAGGACCGCGCUUCGGCUAGGAUGCUGGCGUAAUGGUUGUAAGCGACCCGUCUUGA
rnacentral:rRNA from 2 species